CAGGCGCUCUGCCUCCAGCAAGAGGUGGCUCUGGGGGACAGCUCUCCAUGGGGGACAGCUCUCCAUGGGCUUGGACACCCGUGCUCCCAGACAACAGCUUCUGCCGUGCUCCCAGAUGAGAGCCAGAGCCCUGCCUAUCGGGAGGCCACACUCAUGCCCAAGACUUCUAGGCCUCAGCAGUGCUCCCAAGGGUGUGGCACCAGGUGAAGCAGGGCAGGUGGAAUGCAGGAGCAGGCAGGAAAACCCAGCUCUUCCAAGUCAGACACUGGAGAGCUCUGCAGACACGAAGACAAUGCCAUGCCUCCCCCUAAAUGCUUUUUGUUUUGGAAAAUAUAGCUGUUCGUCAUAAGGUAUUUACGUUGACGUA
rnacentral:lncRNA from 10 species